rnacentral:rRNA from 1 species
GAUGAACGCUGGCGGCGUGCCUAAUACAUGCCAGUCGAGCGAACGGACGAGAAGCUUGCUUCUCUGAUGUUAGCGGCGGACGGGUGAGUAACACGUGGAUAACCUACCUAUAAGACUGGGAUAACUUCGGGAAACCGGAGCUAAUACCGGAUAAUAUUUUGAACCGCAUGGUUCAAAAGUGAAAGACGGUCUUGCUGUCACUUAUAGAUGGAUCCGCGCUGCAUUAGCUAGUUGGUAAGGUAACGGCUUACCAAGGCAACGAUGCAUGGCCGACCUGAGAGGGUGAUCGGCCACACUGGAACUGAGACACGGUCCAGACUCCUACGGGAGGCAGCAGUAGGGAAUCUUCCGCAAUGGGCGAAAGCCUGACGGAGCAACGCCGCGUGAGUGAUGAAGGUCUUCGGAUCGUAAAACUCUGUUAUUAGGGAAGAACAUAUGUGUAAGUAACUGUGCACAUCUUGACGGUACCUAAUCAGAAAGCCACGGCUAACUACGU